rnacentral:rRNA from 1 species
AUUGAACGCUGGCGGCAGGCCUAACACAUGCAAGUCGAGCGGAUGAAGGGAGCUUUCUCCUCGAUUCAGCGGCGGACGGGUGAGUAAUGCCCAGGAAGCUGCCUUGUCUUUGGGGAUAACGUCACUAAACGGGCGCUAAUACCGCACACGUCCUGAUAUAGAAAGUGGUGGAUCAUCGGACCACACGCUAUCAGAUGAGCCUACGACGUAUUAGCUAGUUGGUGGGGUAAGGGCUUACCAAGGCGACGAUCCGUAACUGGUCUGAGAGGAUGAUCAGUCACACUGGAACUGAGACACGGUCCAGACUCCUACGGGAGGCAGCAGUGGGGAAUCUUGGACAAUGGGCGAAAGCCUGAUGCAGCCAUGCCGCGUGUGUGAAGAAGGUCUUCGGAUUGUAAAGCACUUUAAGUUGGGAGGAAGGGCAGUAAGUUAAUCCAUUGCUGUUUUGACGUUACCAACAGAAUAAGCACCGGCUAACUUCGUG